rnacentral:tRNA from 1 species
GGGCUCGUGGUUUAGUGGUAUAAUACUCCCUUAGCAUCUCGCAGCUUCUUUGAAGCCUUCGAAAUCCAGACUGGGAGUGGUCCGGGGUUCGAUUCCCCGCGAGUCCA